UGGGAAGUCCUUGUGUUGCACCC
rnacentral:rRNA from 3 species